rnacentral:rRNA from 1 species
UACAGGGGGUGCAAACGUUGCUCGGAAUCAUUGGGCGUAAAGCGCACGUAGGCGGUUCGUUAUGUCGGAUGUGAAAGCCCUUGGCUUAACCGAGGAAGUGCAUCCGAAACUGGCGAGCUAGAGUACUAAAGAGGAUCGCGGAAUUCCCGGUGUAGAGGUGAAAUUCGUAGAUAUCGGGAGGAACACCGGUGGCGAAGGCGGCGACCUGGUCCUUGACUGACGCUGAGGCGCGAAAGCGUGGGGAGCAAACAGG